AUGGCUCACAAGAAGGUGGCACUCCGGUACAUCCACAACAGAUCAACCCGGCGUGUUACCUUCAAGAAGCGUCGCAAUAGCAUGAUGAAGAAGGCAGGUGAGUUGGGCACCAUGUGCAACACCAAGGCUUGUGUGCUGGUGUAUGGUGAGGGUUCCUCGGUGCCACAUGUCUUCCCAUCCCAUGCUGAUGCGGUGGCGAUCCUGAAUCGGUACAAGGACAUGCCAGACCUUGUGCAGUUCAAGAAUACCGUGAGCCAGGAGGAAUUCCUCAUCGAGCGGAUUACUAAGCUCCAAGAAGAGGCCAACAGGUUUCGACGCGAGCGUGAGGAUCGCGAGAUCAGAAUCCUCCUACACAAGGCCAUGCUCGGUGGUAGCCUCGACGUCCAUGAGCUUACCCUUGUUGGCCCUAAGUUGGAGGUCAUCCUCAAGAACCUUGGUGAGCGCAUUGCAAUCAGUCAGAACUUGGAACCCACCGGUCUUCCAACCACAAGCUCCAUAGGUCACCAACGACAUCGAGAUGGGGCCUCCGAUGAUGUAUCAAGUGCUUCAACAGCAGUAAGUGAGUUGGCUUGA
rnacentral:rRNA from 1 species